AGAGCUGAUGAAGGACGUUGCGGCCUGCGAUAUGCCUCGGGGAGCUGGCGAGCGAGCGUUAUUAUCCGAGGGUGUCCGAAUGGGGGAACCUAACCUGGGUUGUGCUGGGUUACCAUCAUCUGAACGUGUAUAGGGUGAUGGGGGGAACGCGGGGAAGUGAAACAUCUCAGUACCCGCAGGAAAAGAUAUUCCGUGAGUAGUGGCG
rnacentral:rRNA from 1 species